GACGAACGCUGGCGGCAUGCCUAAUACAUGCAAGUCGUGCGAAUUGACGAAGUACUUGUACUUCUGACGUUAGCGGCGAACGGGUGAGUAACACGUAAGGAAUCUACCUAUAAGCGGGGGAUAACAUUCGGAAACGGAUGCUAAUACCGCAUAAUACAUAUUUCCGCAUGGAAAUAUGUUGAAAGACGGCUCUGCUGUCACUUAUAGAUGACCUUGCGGUGCAUUAGUUAGUCGGUGGGGUAAUGGCCUACCAAGACGAUGAUGCAUAGCCGACCUGAGAGGGUGAUCGGCCACAUUGGGACUGAGACACGGCCCAAACUCCUACGGGAGGCAGCAGUAGGGAAUCUUCCGCAAUGGGCGAAAGCCUGACGGAGCAAUGCCGCGUGAGUGAAGAAGGCCUUCGGGUCGUAAAACUCUGUUAUAAGAGAAGAACAAAUUGUAGAGUAACUGCUACAGUCUUGACGGUAUCUUAUCAGAAAGCCACGGCUAACUACGUGCCAGCCGCCGCGGUAACAC
rnacentral:rRNA from 1 species